GCAAGUACGAACGAGAUUAUCCAGCUUGCUGGAUAUGAAAGUGGCGCACGGGUGCGUAACGCGUGAGCAACCUACCUCUGUCAGGGGGAUAGCCCGGCGAAAGUCGGAUUAACACCGCAUGACAUUAUUGAUGUGGCAUCACAUUAUAAUCAAAUAUUUAUAGGACAGAGAUGGGCUCGCGUGACAUUAGCUAGUUGGAGAGGUAACGGCUCACCAAGGCAACGAUGUCUAGGGGCUCUGAGAGGAGAAUCCCCCACACUGGUACUGAGACACGGACCAGACUCCUACGGGAGGCAGCAGUAAGGAAUAUUGGUCAAUGGAGGGAACUCUGAACCAGCCAUGCCGCGUGCAGGAUGACUGCCCUAUGGGUUGUAAACUGCUUUUGUCGGGGAAUAAACCUACGUUUGUAAACGUAGCUGAAUGUACCCGAAGAAUAAGGAUCGGCUAACUCCGUGCCAGCAGCCGCGGUAAUACGGAGGAUCCAAGCGUUAUCCGGAUUUAUUGGGUUUAAAGGGUGCGUAGGCGGUUCUUUAAGUCAGAGGUGAAAGACGGCAGCUGAACUGUCGCAGUGCCUUUGAUACUGAAGAACUUGAAUUAGGUUGAGGAAUGCGGAAUGAGACAAGUAGCGGUGAAAUGCAUAGAUAUGUCUCAGAACCCCGAUUGCGAAGGCAGCAUUCCAAGCCUUUAUUGACGCUGAUGCACGAAAGCGUGGGGAUCGAACAGGAUUAGAUACCCUGGUAGUCCACGCCCUAAACGAUGAUAACUCGAUGUUGGCGAUAGACAGUCAGCGUCCCAGCGAAAGCGUUAAGUUAUCCACCUGGGGGAGUACGCCCGCAAGGGUGAAACUCAAAGGAAUUGACGGGGGCCCGCAC
rnacentral:rRNA from 1 species